rnacentral:rRNA from 1 species
AUUGAACGCUGGCGGCAUGCCUUACACAUGCAAGUCGAACGGUAACAGGUCUUCGGAUGCUGACGAGUGGCGAACGGGUGAGUAAUACAUCGGAACGUGCCCGAGAGUGGGGGAUAACGAGGCGAAAGCUUUGCUAAUACCGCAUACGAUCUCAGGAUGAAAGCAGGGGACCGCAAGGCCUUGCGCUCACGGAGCGGCCGAUGGCAGAUUAGGUAGUUGGUGGGAUAAAAGCUUACCAAGCCGACGAUCUGUAGCUGGUCUGAGAGGACGACCAGCCACACUGGGACUGAGACACGGCCCAGACUCCUACGGGAGGCAGCAGUGGGGAAUUUUGGACAAUGGGCGCAAGCCUGAUCCAGCCAUGCCGCGUGCAGGAUGAAGGCCUUCGGGUUGUAAACUGCUUUUGUACGGAACGAAAAGACUCCUUCUAAUAAAGGGGGUCCAUGACGGUACCGUAAGAAUAAGCACCGGCUAACUACGUGCCAGCCGCCGCGGUAACAC